UAGGAUGUGAGGCUGGAACAGGUCAUUGCUGGCUCUCUGUCAGUCUCUGCUGCAAACCGUCGAUAAGGUCUGCUCAUAGGAUCUGGCUGUGCACUCUAUCCAUUGGGAUGGGACAGCGAGGAAGUACAACAGACCUGCAACAACAGCUCAGACCAGUUUCAACUAGGUUCCUGCCAGAUCGGCUGGGCAUAUUACUGCACAGGGGCAGGGGCGGCAGCUGCCAUGCUGUUGUGCACCUGGCUGUCCUGUUUCGCAGGGAAGAAACAGAAGCAGUACCCGUACUGAAGACAGCAUCAGAGAGACG